GCUUUGGACAAAGCUCAGUCGGUGGAGCAGGAGACUCUUAAUCUCAGGGUUGUGGGUUCAAGCCCCAAAUUGAGCA